GGGUCCUUAGUACAGUGGUUAGUACACUUGACAUGGACGUAAGCAAUGAGGGUUUGAUUCCCACAGCACACA
rfam:Puccinia sorghi strain RO10H11247 Scaffold_4053, whole genome shotgun sequence.